rnacentral:rRNA from 1 species
UACGUAGGGUGCAAGCGUUGUCCGGAUUUAUUGGGCGUAAAGAGCUCGUAGGCGGUUCGACAAGUCGGGGGUGAAAACUCCGGGCUCAACCCGGAGACGCCACCCGAUACUGUCGUGACUGGAGUCCGGUAGGGGAGUGGGGAAUUCCUGGUGUAGCGGUGAAAUGCGCAGAUAUCAGGAGGAACACCGGUGGCGAAGGCGCCACUCUGGGCCGGUACUGACGCUGAGGAGCGAAAGCGUGGGUAGCAAACAGG